rnacentral:rRNA from 1 species
AUUGAACGCUGGCGGCAGGCCUAACACAUGCAAGUCGAACGGUAACAGGAAGAAGCUUGCUUCUUUGCUGACGAGUGGCGGACGGGUGAGUAAUGUCUGGGAAACUGCCUGAUGGAGGGGGAUAACUACUGGAAACGGUAGCUAAUACCGCAUAACGUCGCAAGACCAAAGAGGGGGACCUUCGGGCCUCUUGCCAUCGGAUGUGCCCAGAUGGGAUUAGCUAGUAGGUGGGGUAACGGCUCACCUAGGCGACGAUCCCUAGCUGGUGUGAGAGGAUGACCAGCCACACUGGAACUGAGACACGGUCCAGACUCCUACGGGAGGCAGCAGUGGGGAAUAUUGCACAAUGGGCGCAAGCCUGAUACAGCCAUGCCGCGUGUAUGAAGAAGGCCUUCGGGUUGUAAAGUACUUUCAGCGGGGAGGAAGGGAGUAAAGUUAAUACCUUUGCUCAUUGACGUUACCCGCAGAAGAAGCACCGGCUAACUCCGUG